GUCAGCUCGUGUCGUGAGAUGUUGGGUUAAGUCCGUAACGAGCGCAACCCUUGUCCUUAGUUACCAGCACGUUAUGGUGGCACGUCUAAGGAGACUGCCGGUGACAACCGGAGGAAGGUGGGGAUGACGUCAAGUCAUCAUGGCCCUUACGGCCUGGGCUACACACGUGCUACAAUGGUCGGUACAAAGGGUUGCCAAGCCGCGAGGUGGAGCUAAUCCCAUAAAACCGAUCGUAGUCCGGAUCGCAGUCUGCAACUCGACUGCGUGAAGUCGGAAUCGCUAGUAAUCGUGAAUCAGAAUGUCACGGUGAAUACGUUCCCGGGCCUU
rnacentral:rRNA from 1 species